GGGCGGGGUCGAGACCCAGGGUCUCGAGCUUGAUGACGAGCUUGGAGGGUACUAUGGUGUUGAAUGCCGAGCUGUAGUCGAUGAACAGCAUUCUCACAUAGGUAUUCCUCUUGUCCAGAUGGGUUAGGGCAGUGUGCAGUGUGGUUGAGAUUGCAUCGUCUGUGGACCUAUUUGGGCGGUAAGCAAAUUGGAGUGGGUCAAGGGUGUCAGGUAGGGUGGAGGUGAUAUGGUCCUUGACUAGUCUCUCAAAGCACUUCAUGAUGACGGAUGUGAGUGCUACUGGGCGGUAGUCGUUUAGCUCAGUAACCUUAGCUUUCUUGGGAACAGGAACAAUGGUGGCCCUCUUGAAGCAUGUGGGAACAGCAGACUGGUAUAGGGAUUGAUUGAAUAUGUCCGUAAACACACCGGCCAGCUGGUCUGCGCAUGCUCUGAGGGUGCGGCUGGGGAUGCCGUCUGGGCCUGCAGCCUUGCGAGGGUUAACACGUUUAAAUGUCUUACUCACUUCGGCUGCAGUGAAGGAGAGAACGCAUGUUUUCGUUGCAGGCCGUGUCAGUGGCACUGUAUUGUCCUCAAAGUGGGCAAAAAAGUUAUUUAGUCUGCCUGGGAGCAAGACAUCCUGGUCCGUGACUGGGCUGGGUUUCUUCCUGUAGUCCGUGAUUGACUGUAGGAAGAAACCCAGCCCAGUCACGGACCAGGAUGUCUUGCUCCCAGGCAGACUAAAUAACUUUUUUGCCCGCUUUGAGGACAAUACAGUGCCACUGACACGGCCUGCAACGGAAACAUGCGGUCUCUCC
ensembl:lncRNA